GGUCUUUGCACUGCCAGAUGCUUCACAGUCACAAACAGGACCAGCAGUGGGAUGAUAAGCAGUGGGACCAGCAGUGGGAUGAUAAGCAGUGGGACCAGCAGUGGGAUGAUAAGCAAUAACAAAAAAAGCCCUUUGGGGCACAGCCCUGAGGACCCAUCCCCAUGCAAAGAGAACUGUGCUGGAAAAAAGGAAGGGUUGAAGCCAGACAGGCAAAUUCUGAUAUCAGGAAGUGUGUCAGGGUGCAGCUCGUGGAGAACACCAUAGAUCACAGCGUUUAUGCUCAGUGAUGACUGUUUGAACUUCAAUGAGGAAAAUGAUGCUGGAAUUGGUCUAAAGGUCAUGUUGUAGGUCAUAUCCCUGGAGUCUGCUUUAAGGCUGUUAAAGUAGCCAAUGUGACUCUUUUAGUUAGUCAUGUACAAAGGCAAGAAGAAAAAGACUGUGAUCAUAAAUUUUGA
rnacentral:lncRNA from 1 species